rnacentral:misc_RNA from 1 species
UCCGGUUUGUCACCGGCAGUCUCGCAUGAGUCCCCAACUAAAUGCUGGCAACAUGCGACGGGGGUUGCGCUCGUUGCGGGACUUAACCCAACAUCUCACGACACGAGCUGACGACAGCCAUGCACCACCUGUGAAGAUCCGGCCGAACCGACACCGUGUUUCCACGGCUGCGAUCUACAUGUCAAGCCCAGGUAAGGUUCUUCGGGUCGCAUCGAAUUAAGCCGCAUGCUCCGCCGCUUGUGCGGGGACCCGUCAAUUCCUUUGAGUUUUAGCCUUGCGGCCGUACUCCCUAGGCGGGGCACUUAGUGCGUUAGCGACGGCACGGGAGGAGUCGGCACCUCCCACACCUAGUGCCCAUCGUUUACGGCGUGGACUAC